CCCCUACUUUGGGGGCAUCUGACGCAGCCAUGCCGCGUGAUGAAGAAGGCCUUCGGGUUGUAAAGUUCUUUCGGUGAGGAGGAAGGGGUGUUGUUUAAUAGGCAUCACGGUUGACGUUAAUCGCAGAAGAAGCACCGGCUAACUCCGUGCCAGCAGCCGCGGUAAUACGGAGGGUGCGAGCGUUAAUCGGAAUUACUGGGCGUAAAGGGCACGCAGGCGGCUAUUUAAGUGAGGUGUGAAAUCCCCGGGCUUAACCUGGGAAUUGCAUUUCAAACUGGGUAGCUAGAGUACUUUAGAGAGGGGUAGAAUUCCACGUGUAGCGGUGAAAUGCGUAAAGAUGUGGAGGAAUACCGAAGGCGAAGGCAGCCCCUUGGGAAUGUACUGACGCUCAUGUGCGAAAGCGUGGGGAGCAAACAGGAUUAGAUACCCUGGUAGUCCACGCUGUAAACGAUGUCGAUUUGGGGAUUGGGCUUUAAACUUGUUGCCCGCAGCUAACAUGAUAAAUCGACCGCCUGGGGAGUACGGCCGCAAGGUUAUAACUCAUAGGAAGUUUGUCGGGGG
rnacentral:rRNA from 1 species